rnacentral:tRNA from 1 species
GCCCUCAUAGUUAAAUGGAUAUAACAGGGACCUUCUAAGUCCUAGUUCCAAGUUCGAUUCUUGGUGAGGGUA